AUUUCUUAAGUUAUCUUUAGCUUCCUCAUCCUGCUAUUUCUAUAUUCCCUGACAGGCCCUGGGUGAAGUUGCUUUGUAAGGUUCGCGGGGAGGGGAUGGGAGGGGGCGGAGUUCUUACGCGUCUGGGCCAGCUGCGCAGCUCAGGCGCCGGCUCGCCGCCGCCAUCUUGGAUUGAGGCGUCCUGCGCAGCGCUUCUGCACAUGCGCCCUCCGAGCGGAAGUGUCUGCGCAGCCAUUUUGAACUAGGAGCUCCGUCUGAAGUGCUGAGCGCAAGGCCUCCGGAUGUGGACUCCUGGGAGCAAGCGAAAGAGGAAGCACAGAGGAAAAGGAAAACAAAAAAAAGAGCUUCAGUUGUAUGGAGGAGAACACAGAGGAGCAGCUCUAAAGGCAGCAAAACCUGUGAUGGUUGGAAACUUGAGAAAACAGUAGUCUUUCAACUGGGGACAAUUUUGUUGGCUAUCUGUCCACCUUCAGGAAGAGAAGAGCGAUCACCCAGCGCUAGUAUCUCAUGGCUCCAGGGAGUCUUGGCCCGUUUCCUCUUCAAUAAGGAAGGGGCCCUGGUUUGGCACAGGUUCCAAAGUCUAAAAGACAUCCAUGGAAGGGGAUCGAGAGGUUGCAUGAUCUACAGAUCAAACCUCCAACACCUCCAAGUACAGGAGAGAAAAAAUAUGGGGAAAAUAGAGAUGGACACCAGAGAGGGGAAAAAAGACAAAGAGAGAAAGAGAAAUCUAAAAAUAAAGCAGUGAUUUUUGACUUUAAAAAGUAAGUAAUAUUUCAUAAAUUGAUGCUAAAAAUUCACAUGAAUUUAAAAUAUUUUUAUUUUGAGAAUGUAAUGAGGGGAAUUUCAUAACAUAUGCUGCAUUAA